UAGGUUGUGCCUCAGAGGCAGAGGGCUUGUCUAGCAUGCGUGAGGCAUUGGGUUCAAUCCUCAGCACCAUAU
rnacentral:tRNA from 1 species